rnacentral:rRNA from 1 species
GUGCAGCAGGCGAGAAUAGUCUACAAUGGACGAAAGUCUGAUAGUGCGACGCCGUGUGUGCGAUUAAUUCCUUCGGGAUGUAAAGCACUUUUCUAUGAGAUAAAAGCUCUUUAGGUUAAUAGCUUAUUGAGACGGAUAUUAUUAUAGGAAUAAGCUCCGGCUAACUCCGUGCCAGCAGCCGCGGUAAUACGGAAGGAGCGAGCGUUGUCCGGAUUUACUAGGCGUAAAGGGCUAGUAGGCGACUAAUUAAGUUAUAUGUUAAAUCCCACGGCUCAACUGUGGUCCUGCAUGUAAUACUGGUUAGAUAGAGUACUGUAGAGGAAGGCAGAAUUCCUGGAGUAGCGGUGGAAUGCGCAGAUAUCAGGAAGAAUACCAAAAGCGAAGGCAGCCUUCUGGGCAGUUACUGACGCUGAAUAGCGAAGGUGUGGGUAGCGAACAGGAUUA